CUCUCACCUCACUCAUCUAACUCUCUCUCUCUCUUCAGCUCUCACCGAAGCACCACGUACAACAGAGAAAAAAAAAAUCACAGAAUUAACUAUUUUCUCUUAAAUCCGAAAAAUCAAAACCUUUUUCACUGAAAUCCCACCUCCAUCCAACCAUUUUAUCUGAUGUUCUUAGAAAAAUUUCUUAAACACCCACCUCCGUUAAACCUUGAAGAGAAAAAAAGAUGCAUGAAUAGAGCUUGUCCUGGUCUUGGAGAAGCUCUGAAAGGCAGCAUUGAGAAUAAGAUUCAUGGGAUGGUGACAGAACAAGGAUUCUUGAUGGGAAAUUGUAUCCCGAAAAUAUGGUGAUAACUUCAAAGUUAAGAGUCCUCCUUAUGUUUUCGUGAUAAUGCUUCGUAGCUUGAUUAACUUAGUAGAUUUUACCAUAAAUUGUUAUGUUAAUCCUAGUAGGUUUGCCGUUAGCAGCGGCGGAUGUACGCACAGACUUCCCCUGGCUUAAGCCAGGGGUGUAUCAAAGGAAUUUUUUUUUUGGGGUAGUUAAUGAUAGCCUAAAUUCGUCAAGCUCUGUUACACCUAUUGUCAAGCCAGCGUAGAAAUCUAUUGUUUUCAAUGAUAGCCCUGUGAAGGAUAGAUGAAAUCAAGAAAGGUGAACUUCUUGAUCCAAGGAUAUGGGGUUGAGCAAGAGUACACCCUCCGCAGAAGUAUGUUUAAGGUAACAAGGUUGACGUAAUCGAAUGCCAUUUGAGGGCAUGACAAACUUGCAGGCAGCUUGUGGUGCCAUUUAAGAAUGAAAACUAAUGCAAUAACUGUACAUGGCUUGAACCACUACUCUUGACGGAUUUAAUGUUGGUGGUGGAGUGUGCUGGUGGUGCUGUUAGGCAAGUGAGGUUGCCGCUAUUGUUAGUGGUGGUGCUUGAGGUAUUGGAGUGGGAAAAGACUACCUGCACGAAGACCUAAUGUAUUUUCAGUCCUGCUUAAUGAAAACAAACGUUUUCACCACCAUUUUCAGCAGAUCCUCCAGAAGAAAAAGAAAAGGAGGAAGAUGAAUGAAGGUGCACUGAUGUCAUGGUUGAUGGUAAGAUCUCUGUUGCUACUGAGUAAGGAAAUGUUGGAAAGGGUUGUGCUUCUGCAGUUCUGUUCUCAAGCAAGCCUGGUGCCAAGGUCAUAAUGACUGAAAUUGUUGAAAUUUUUAGGACUUGUAUCACUUUUCUUUAAGAAACCUUGAACUUGUUAAUUAGCAGCUGAAUCCUUUUUUUUUGUGAGUUUGGGCAAAUUUUUUGAGUACAAUUCAAUGUAAUAGAGUUCUGAUUUUGUAUUAGAUGAAUCUGGUUUUACA